CACUCAGAGGAGGCAUUCCACAGAGCUGAACCUGUGCAUUCCAAGUUCUGGCAAAAGGCAGGGAAUAGAAGGGCUACAAGGCCUUGGAGAAGGCAAGGUCACCUGAUAGGAAGAGGUGGAGAAAAAGCCAGGAUUACAACUUAAGGCACUGACAGCUGGUAAUAUGUGCCGUUUCUCUCCACGAGGUUAUGAGCCCCUUGUUGGUACAACUGUAUUUUAAUGUUCCACCACAUGGACAUGGGAGGAAGGCAGGUGGAUAAACAGUCCACCAUACGCAGCAUUUGUGGAAAACGCAGAACUGUCAUGACUGAAACAUUUUCUGAUUGAAUAGAUGGUGAACACUGAAAUGAUAAAUCCUGGAGAAGCAAUCUUUCAAUAAAUCAAAAUCUAAUGUGCAACUGACCCCAAAUGUUGACGCUUGAGCAGACUUAAUAUGUACAUAUUAUUUGGGGGAACUUUAAAUGUUCUACAAACUGCUAAUUGCAAACAAAUAAGGGAUUCAAGGUGUAACGGGCCAAGUAGCAGCAAGAUAAAGUGCAGUGGCAAAAUCACUCCCGAUUUAGAGAUGAUAGCCUCUGUUAAUGAAGUCACCAAUGAUGUCACUGGACUUUUCACUCCAUGUGGAAAGGAAAAAAGCUGUUUUCCAACAGCUGUUAUUGCCUCCAUGAAAAAAAAAAUCAAUGAAAGUGAAAUGAACAAGAGAUUUUGUCUGAGUUGCAGUUAAUACCACUGAAGAGCUAUGGAUAUUAAAAGGUCAACAAAUAAAUUAGCCAGAGUGUUAUGAAAUGAAUGAUUUGGCUUAUAAUUUUAUUGAGUGAAAAUUGUUCGCUGCCUAUUAGACCAGAUAGAGCGACAGAGAUGCAGCAUAUCAUGUGGCCUGCGGAGGUGAAAAUGAUUUAUACUUAAGGAUGUUGCUGCCUACUUCCAUCACUUUAAGGUACUCUUAAUUAGCCUCAUGUUUGAAAUGACUAAUUCCCAUAUACAGGAAGAGCAGCUUCAUGGAGACAGAUUUUCUCAUGCCAACAAGGAAGAAGCUACCCCGAGGAUAUGCUGCCUCUAGAGUUCUGAACCGUCCCAAGGCUAAUGGAAGCAAUUUGUAUACCAACCCAAACUGACUGGCCCACUUUUCAAAAUACAGAGCGACCACCUCUGCUCCAGUUUCUGACAAAGCCUGCACUAGGUUCACAGUGCACUUAAAGGAGACACACGGAUUUAAACAGUGACCAGGCUAUGGUGGAGCCAUGAACCAUUUAAUUCAAGAUGCUUUCCACUAGCCCCUUCAAACCUAUUCACAGGUAGGUAGAUGUAAGAGCACAUGUACUGAAUCAGCUUGGUGGGGCUUUAUAGCUCUGAACAAUAGACCAGGGGAGGUUUGAAGCAGUCCUGCAAACACGUGGGGAGCGCGAGCCAGUGCUCCUGAGCAGGGGAGAAAGCUGGCAGAGUGAUGAGUCAGCUGGGAUUUCAGAAGGGGCUUCUCACCACAGCUAGGAUGGGAUCCUGGGGAAGGGCCCCUGGUAAAAGUGUGCCUGCCCUACGCACAGGGAUGGCAUGUCAGCUGUCAAAGUCAUCACCUUUGAAACAGGACGAGCUGAUUACACGAUCAAAAAGAAAAUCAAACCAUUUCACCUGGCUUUGUGUUGGGACUGUUUAUAGGUUCCUUCCCAAUCUCCUCAUCUCCGAAUUCCCUAAAGGAAACCAGUGACUUUCUCUUCCAAACCCGUCUCUAUUAGGCUUUUCUCUUUAUGGACUUCAGUCCACGUGCUGGUCAGAACAAAACAGCUCUGGUUAUUCAAAGCUAUUUCUACAUUGUCCAAAUGCUCACAUAGCAUGAAAUGCUGUCUAUAAAGAAAAUUUGAUAAUACAACUAGAUGUUAUACACUAAUGUUAGUCAUAAGAUUACUAAAUGCGAUUUCAAACCACUAGUAAUGAGUAAAUUCUAACUGAAAACAGUAUAAAUAUGGCCUUUUUGUGCCUUUAGUCUCUUUCUAAUUUUUUUUAAACAAAUUCACUUCACCAAGAGAUCAAAUAAAGACAAUUCUCUUUAAGGGAAUUUAUUUGCAAAUUAAAAUCAUGUAGUCAAGACAGAUGCAUUCACAGUUAUGAAAAUUGAUUUUUCUCUGCUCACAACUUCCUUUUAAAGAAGUCACUCCUCUGUCCCCCUGAGUACUUAUUCCUGUGAACAACAGUCAUGAGAGGCUGGAGGGCCACGUUCCCAAACACCAGGGGAAAGGGCUCUGGGUGCCAUUCCAACAUUUGCUCGCAGAGUUCCGUGCUUUUAUAGCUCAGCGACUCACUGCAGCGCUUUAACAUAUUUCUGGGGUUUUAAUUUCCUUUUUUUAAUGGUUGUGUGACAUGAUGUCAUUUUGACUGGAAAUGAAAAGAAAUGCAGAUAUUAGGAAGGUAAUAUUUAUAUUCUAUUGCUAUUUAAUGUCCAAACAAAUAUCUAGACGCUAUGCCAAGUAAUAAAUAAAACCUCAUAGCAGAGGCAAUGAUAAAACUAGCACCUGGGUCUCCAAGCUUCCCUGGUGACUACUCUAUAUUUGAACUAAAGGAGUAACAGCAGAGCAUUUCCCUUCCAGGCAGGCCCAUUCUGGGUAUGAGAGUUAUUACAUAUGUGUUAGGCAGAGCCUGUUUGUUCCAUAAUGGCCCCAUUUUUCCCUCAGUCACUAAAUUAACAACCAGAGGUAAACAAUAAAACAGCAAGUUAUCUUCACGAACCUAUCUUUAAGAGUGACUUUAAAAUAUAUAAGCCGAGAAAUCAACCAGAAGACUAAACAAGAGCCAGAAAUAUUGUUACUGAAGAAAUUUGCUGCAUUUCCAGCCAUUGGAUGUUUCAUUACCUGCCUAGAUGUCGAGUACACAAAUGGCACGCAAAGUCGACUCUUCAGUGGAAAAGAUACACUCCCUAAAGCCCAGGCCCUGGUAAGGGAAGCCCUGGCUUUCAGUGUGAAAUGCUUUUACAGCCUGGUGCCCCUGCCUCAGGCUUGUGAUGCUCAGGAGAGCUCAGGAGCAGGCUCACUGAACCGCGAGAUCCGGAACUGAAUGCGAAGAGUGGCAAGAGGAAGCCAACAUGGGCAGCAUUAACCCAUACAGGAGCCCUAGAAAGAUUUGCAAACUGCCCUUGAACACGCCCUGACUUCUUGCUGUGUGGCAACAACUUAAAGAUUCCAAAUGAAAAGCAAAGAAAGUAAUACCGCUCUCUACCAAAGGCACAUCUGAUGCAUUUAGGUGGCUUGUGUGGCCGAGUCCUCUUUGCAGAGCGGAGCCAGGGGACUAUGCAAAGCAAGGGUUGCAGACAGUCAGCUGGAAGAGGAAGAGUCCAGGUUGAUGAAAUGCAGAGGCUCUUAGAGACAGACUGAGAUGUAAGACCCUGAGGACUGUGGCCUGGAAUGCAAAGAACUUACAUAUGUUUGUGAAUUAAUAACAAUUCAAGAAGCACAAGCAAUCAAGAAGAGGAAGAAAGAAAGAAGAGUGACUUGCUUUUGUUCUUCAAAAUGAAAUAGCUUUAUUGUAUUUCUAAACCUAAAAGCAAUACAUUCUUAAUACAUAAAAAUUUUUGAAAGCGGGAGAGGGAAGAAUUCCUGUAGCACCCCUAGUGCUAUAAGCACUAUUUAUAUUUUAGUAUGUGUAUUUUCAGACAGUUUCACACUGCUGUUUUGUAUAAAUAAAGAUUCUAUCUAUAUUUAGACUCACCUCAUUGUUUCCCCACAUUUCCACUGGGUUAAGAAGUGUUAUAAUGAACAAUACCCAGGAAAAAUUCCUGGGUAAUAGAAAUGCACAUUUCAAAUCUUUUAAUACAUAGAUUUCCUAACUAUCCUUCAUAGGAUUUAUACCAAUUUAUGUUUCAAUGGGUUUCUUUUAAAGGUGUCUGCAAAAGAAAACUAAUUUUUACAAUUUUAUAUCUUUAACCCAGUUAUUCUCUAAGUUAUAAAGACCGACCUCUGAAGAUUUUUAGUAGAUGUUAACAAUCCCAAUGAGCCCUUAUAGAGGUGACAUCUUCAGCAUAGCCUGAGGUCAUCGAAGACCGUUUUCCUGGCAAUAUCAAAGUGUUUCAUAGACAUUAUCUCUUUUUUUAUCUCAAAUAUUCCUAUAGAAUGCUCUUAAUAUCAAUAUUGAAAAAAAUACUUUCAACUCAGGUGGGAAACUAAGGUGGCAUAAAUUAGUACAGAUGCUUCACUGUUGAUUUUUUUUACAGUACUUUCUGUUUCAAGAUAGCUAUUUGCCUUACUAUUGAUGAACCUCAAACUGCAGCAGACUGACAAGUCCUGAUACCAAAUCAAUUAAACCUCUCCUUUUUCACAAAAUAUCUGAGAAACAGAAGUUCAUCUUCAGCUGUUAUCUUUGUGUCCAGAAUCCUGACUUUAUACAGAUGAAUGAGCUGCUCCAAGGCCUGACUUCUGUACUUAAAGCUCACCACACCAACAAGCACAAACUGUUGCAGGAGGCCACCCUGGUAUUUUAAAGUUGCCCCACAAAUCAUCAACCAACUGUAUUUCCUGCCUCACCAAAAUGUCCGAGCCUACAAAGCUCUCUCAAGAACUGAACUGUCCUUUGGAAAGAGCAGACACGUAGUGGUGUAGAGAUGCCUUAAAUCAAUGUGUCUCCUACCACAACCAGUCAGCAUUUUACAAGAUCCUCGGUGAGAAGCUGCGGGAAGAAGUGGAGCAUUUCCUCUCGAACAGCCCCUGUCUCACCCUGGAGCAUUUACUCAGUCUAAAAUGGGAAGUAGGUGAGCCUACAAUAAUUAGAGAAAACUGAACUGCUCUCAAAUUGUAAUGAAGCUGAUGAGAAAAGACGCCCCUGUUAUUGUGUGUGAUGUGCUCUGAACAGCCUGGCCUUCCAGGAGCCUUAAUUUAGAUUUCCAAAUUUGAUCCAAGUUUUAAAACUAAAAUUAAAUCCCUUAAGCAAACAGAAGCUCACUCUUUUUUUUUUGUCUUUCAAUCUUAUGGAUUUAAAGAAAAAAUGGAUCAUUUAUGAUUAGAUUUCAAAGCCAGAUCUGCUCCUUUAAAGGAAAAAAGGAGGAUGAUUUUCUCUGUGUAAUGGAUGAUGGUGUUUAAGUACUGAAGGCCAACAUACUCUGUCUUUCGUUCUUAACAUUUAAGGAUAAAUCCAUAAUUCUCUUCCCUACUGACACAUCUUCUGAUAUAACAAGAGUAAUAUUACUUCUAUAAUUGUUCUUCAGAUUUCUUCCCAAAGAGUUUUGACAAUAACUGUUAUCAAGGGGGUAAAAUCACCCAGCCUGUCUGAUAAACAUGUUUUCUUAUGUUCCCACCCCAGCGAGAGCUGUGACACCGUACUUUUAUCAUCCAGUGUGUGUACAGAAUAAGCUUAGAACAGCAAUUGCCGAGAAUAGGCAGGCGAUAAACCGCAUUGAUUUAACACAUCUUGUUUUCAAUCAUGCUUGGAUUUUCUGAGCACGCAUUUUUCCUGUACUCUGGCUUGUAGCUUUUAUCUGACGAGCUGAUCCCUUUUCACUGGAAAAUGAAAAGGUCGCACAAUAAGACACGGUUUACUGGAACUUGAACACGCACCAGGGAAAGUAUUUUAGAUAAAUACUGUCAGACAUAGUGGAGCUGAAUUUCAACAACGCAAUUGCUAAACAACAAUACUUAUUACUCUCCUAGAACAAGCCUACAAGCAACUUACGGCUCACAGCAGGGGAUAGCACCGAGUCAGGCGCCAAAGCUAAGAAACCCUUCCCUGAGCCUCAUGCUAACCAAGCACAGAGUUUUGGGCUGAGGUCUUCUUCAUGAUUGUUAAUAACACAGUUUAUGAAACAACUCGGAAAAGUACCCCCACUGUUCACCGAGUCAUUUCCUCUAAACCAGCGGACAGGUUUCAGAGGAGCUGGAUGAUGAAGCUACCACAGAGCUCUGCAGACAGACCAGGAGGAAUGAGAAAAUCCCAAGGAAAGUGAGAAUCAACCUGACUCUAACUAAUCCAUUAAUUCCACUAACAAGACAGGAAAGUGCUUCUAACUGGGAGAUAUUAGAGGAUCAAGUGAUUAUUUGGUAAUGUUUUAAUGGCAUCAAAAGAAUCAUAUACCAUAUGUAGAGACCGACAGUGGCCUUGCAGAUAAGCCUAGAAGUUUUUAUCAGCCUGAAUUCAAGCAACGUAGCAUCUUGACACACAAUAAACGAAGUCCAUCUUCCUCAGUUUUGACUCACAUCACAAGGCUCAGCCAGGACACACUCUUCCACUUCAGCAUCAGAGUCUGGAAUUCUCUUGUUUUGGCCUUGCCACAAAUUCAUUAUGUCUUCAUGCAUUGUGUGCCCCAGAGUUGCCCCAGCUUUCUCUGUUCACAAACCACGAGUGUCUUGAAAACCAUCUCAAAGCAUCCCCAAGUCAAAAGAAAAGCCCAACAGUUCUAUUUACUAACCACCUAGUUCUAAACAACUGAAUGUUCAAGUCCUAACAACUUGGUAGCCAUUAAAAAUAAAGCAGUACAAGGAAACUGAAAAAAAAAAAAAACAUGGUAUUUUCAUUUAAUGUUUAAAUACUCACAAUAACUUACGGGAUGUGAAUUUUCGUUGGGCACCACACAACUUUGUGAACCUCAGAAUCAGAUUGAAUACUGCCACCCUCAUGUUCUAUUCCAUAGUGACUUGUACAUGGCAGUUCCUUUUGACCACAGUAACUGCUGCAAACCCAGAUUUGCAAAGGCCUGACGCCAUCAAGAGGCACGAGCUAUGAGCUUCUAUGAACUAGUAGAUCACAGAACUACUUAUUGAAAGUAUUGCUAUUUGCUUAUGAAAGUAUUGCUAUUUCUGUCAUAUUUAAAAAGCCAUUGUGCCCAUGUGAGGUUGCAGGAUGCCUUCAUGCAUAAGUACAGGAAACUUGGAUCCACUGAGAAUCACAGUAUUACUUACAUGCUACAGUACUACAAGAAUCUAUUGUUGGCUGGUGCUGUGGCUCAAUAGGCUAAUCCUCCGCCUGCGGUGCUGGCACCCCAGGUUCCAGUCCUGGUUGGAGCGCCGGAUUCUGUCCCGGUUGCUCCUCUUCCAGGCCAGCUCUCUGCUGUGGCCAGGGAGUACAGUGGAGGAUAGCCCAAGUGCUUGGGCCCUGCACCUGCAUGGGAGACCAGGAGAAGCACCUGGCUCCUGGCUUCAGAUCAGCGCAAUGCACCGGCCACAGCAGCCAUUGGAGGGUGAACCAACGGCAAAAGGAAGACCUUUCUCUCUGUCUGUCUCUCUCUCUCACUGUCUACUCUGCCUUUCAAAAAAAUAAAUUAAUUAAAU